UUGAACGCUGGCGGCAGGCCUAACACAUGCUAGUCGAGCGGAUGAAGGGAGCUUGCUCCUGGAUUCAGCGGCGGACGGGUGAGUAAUGCCUAGGAAUCUGCCUGGUAGUGGGGGAUAACGUCCGGAAACGGGCGCUAAUACCGCAUACGUCCUGAGGGAGAAAGUGGGGGAUCUUCGGACCUCACGCUAUCAGAUGAGCCUAGGUCGGAUUAGCUAGUUGGUGGGGUAAAGGCCUACCAAGGCGACGAUCCGUAACUGGUCUGAGAGGAUGAUCAGUCACACUGGAACUGAGACACGGUCCAGAGUCCUACGGGAGGCAGCAGUGGGGAAUAUUGGACAAUGGGCGAAAGCCUGAUCCAGCCAUGCCGCGUGUGUGAAGAAGGUCUUCGGAUUGUUAAGCACUUUAAGUUGGGAGGAAGGGCAGUAAGUUAAUACCUUGCUGUUUUGACGUUACCAACAGAAUAAGCACCGGCUAACUUCGUG
rnacentral:rRNA from 1 species